rnacentral:lncRNA from 1 species
UGAUGAUUGUUGAUGCUGGCACACAGAUUGUCAUUAAAUGCAUUGCGGUUUUCUGCUGGCAUUGUGUUUCAGACUCAAACGCAAAGGUUAAGUUCAUCCGCCUCACAAUCUCCGCAUCAAAGUGACACUUCAGAGCUCAAGAGCUCAGAAGAAAGUACCUCAGAGGACCAAAGUUCAGAGUCUGAGUCCGAAUCAUUGGAAUCCAAUUCAGAGGUGAGUGACAACAACAGUAUUCCUACUCCAGUAUUAUCCUUCCCACUUGAAAAAAUACUAUAUUAUUAACUGGGUGGUUCGAGCCCUGAAUGCUGAUUGGCUGACAGCCGUGGUAUAGCAGAGUAUGACAAAACAUAUAUUUUUACUGCUCUA